UACGAGGGGGGCAAGCGUUGUUCGGAAUUAUUGGGCGUAAAGGGUGCGUAGGCGGUUUUGUAAGUCUUGUGUGAAAUCUUCAGGCUCAACUUGAAGACUGCACGAGAAACUGCAGGGCUUGAGUGUGGGAGAGGUGAGUGGAAUUCCUGGUGUAGCGGUGAAAUGCGUAGAUAUCAAGAGGAACACCUGAGGUGAAGACGGGUUGCUGGGCCGACACUGACGCUGAUGCGCGAAAGCCAGGGGAGCAAACGGG
rnacentral:rRNA from 1 species